CCUACGGGAGGCAGCAGUGAGGAAUAUUGGUCAAUGGACGAGAGUCUGAACCAGCCAAGUAGCGUGAAGGAUGACUGCCCUAUGGGUUGUAAACUUCUUUUAUAUGGGAAUAAAAUGUUCCACGUGUGGGAUUUUGUAUGUACCAUAUGAAUAAGGAUCGGCUAACUCCGUGCCAGCAGCCGCGGUAAUACGGAGGAUCCGAGCGUUAUCCGGAUUUAUUGGGUUUAAAGGGAGCGUAGGUGGUUUGUUAAGUCAGUUGUGAAAGUUUGCGGCUCAACCGUAAAAUUGCAGUUGAAACUGGCAGUCGUGAGUACAGUAGAGGUGGGCGGAAUUCGUGGUGUAGCGGUGAAAUGCUUAGAUAUCACGAAGAACUCCGAUUGCGAAGGCAGCUCACUGGACUGCAACUGACACUGAGGCUCGAAAGUGUGGGUAUCAAACAGGAUUAGAUACCCUAGUAGUG
rnacentral:rRNA from 1 species